rnacentral:misc_RNA from 1 species
CAAAGCUUGCUCUUCUUGAACUCUAGCUUUUGAAUAUAAUUGAUUAAAGGAAUUCUAAUAAGCUUGCAAGAUAAAUUCAUGUUUCAAAUUCCGUAAAUCCUCUAAUGAAUCUUCCUUUGCUCCUGUAGAAUUAUCUUGAUUUAUAUUACUUGUAAUCUUCACACUGCACAAACUUAUACUAGUAAGCAAGGAUUUAAUUUCUUCCAAGCCUUGUUGAUGUCGUUGCUCUGCUUGAUUUUGCAAAACCUCCUGCCCUUGCUCUGGUUGUUGCAUCAUGGCAAUGAACCUUUAGAUCUUGAGAUUGCAUACCUUCCAUCACGGCCAAGGAUAUAAUAGCUCUAUUUAGUAACAAGAAAGGACCAACAAAACAAAUUUAGAGAAAAGAAUAGCCAAGAAUUUUUUUUUUGUUUGACAAGAAGGUUGAGAAUUCGGUGUGCAAGUUUAAGGAAGGAAGAAUCUUAUGGUGCAUUCUAUCUUUGGUGGAAAGGAAAACAAGAGAAGAUUGAAGGGACUAUUGUGAAAAUAGAGAAACACAAAAGAACAGAGGAGAGGAAAAACCAGACUCAAGAAAGAAAGAAGGGUAAUUCAAGAAUUAGUAGCAGAACCCAUGAACAAAUCUCAGAAAAAAGAAUCCAGAAAGGGAAAGAAAGAUUAGAAAGAACAAAGAAGAGGAGGGAACCCUAUAUUCAAGAAAGGAAGAAGAGUAAAAGAAAAACUUGUAGCAAAACCCAUGGCCAAGGAUUUUGGCUCUGAUACCAAUGCUAUGUGUACAAAUUCAUUAUACAAGAGAGUUCAAAAGAGAGAAGAUGAUCUAACAAUAGGAAGAAGAAGAGAACAGAUUCAUUGAGAGGAGAGAAUAGCAGAAGUUCACAAGAGAGGGAUACAUUCUACAUGUGGCAUUCAAUUAAUAGACACUCCUUAAUAGACAAACAAAAUGAUAACAGCCUCUUAAACCACUAACAUAUUCUCCCGCUGGUGAACCUUUAUCUUCUCACUUUCAAUAUUCUCAAAUAAUAAUCAUAGUCAAAGCUAUUGAAUAAAAGAAAAUUAGCUCUAUUUUUAGAGCUUACGAUCCUAAUUAAAUUAGAAAUAGAAACCCUAAUAAACUCUAAUUAGGAAUAUUAAUUAAGAUAAAUUAGGAAAUAAUAU